UACGUAGGGACCGAGCGUUGUCCGGAUUCAUUGGGCGUAAAGAGCUCGUAGGCGGUUUGUUGCGUCGGCUGUGAAAUCCCCGAGGCUCAACCUCGGGUCUGCAGUCGAUACGAGCAAACUAGAGUGUUGCAGGGGAGACUGGAAUUCCUGGUGUAGCGGUGAAAUGCGCAGAUAUCAGGAGGAACACCGAUGGCGAAGGCAGGUCUCUGGGCCGAUACUGACGCUGAGGAGCGAAAGCGUGGGGAGCGAACAGG
rnacentral:rRNA from 1 species